rnacentral:rRNA from 1 species
UUUGAUCCUGGCUCAGAUUGAACGCUGGCGGCAUGCUUUACACAUGCAAGUCGAACGGUAACAGGGUGCUUGCACCGCUGACGAGUGGCGAACGGGUGAGUAAUAUAUCGGUACGUACCUAGUAAUGGGGGAUAACUAUCCGAAAGGAUAGCUAAUACCGCAUACGCCCUGAGGGGGAAAGAGGGGGAUCGCAAGACCUCUCGUUAUUAGAGCGGCCGAUAUCAGAUUAGCUAGUUGGUGAGGUAAAGGCUCACCAAGGCAACGAUCUGUAGCGGGUCUUAGAGGACGAUCCGCCACACUGGAACUGAGACACGGUCCAGACUCCUACGGGAGGCAGCAGUGGGGAAUCUUGGACAAUGGGCGCAAGCCUGAUCCAGCAAUGCCGCGUGCGUGAAGAAGGCCUUCGGGUUGUAAAGCGCUUUUGUUCGGGAGGAAAUCCUAGUGGCUAAUAUCCUCAUUGGGGAUGACAGUAUCCGGAAGAAUAAGACC